AGUCGAGGGGUAUAGGGAGCUUGCUUCCUUGAGACCGGCGCACGGGUGCGUAACGCGUAUGCAACCUACCUUUAUCUGGGGGAUAGCCCGGAGAAAUCCGGAUUAAUACCGCAUAAAAUCACAGAAUAGCAUUAUUUAAUGAUCAAACAUUUAUGGGAUGAAGAUGGGCAUGCGUGUCAUUAGCUAGUUGGCGGGGUAACGGCCCACCAAGGCGACGAUGACUAGGGGAUCUGAGAGGAUGGCCCCCCACACUGGUACUGAGACACGGACCAGACUCCUACGGGAGGCAGCAGUAAGGAAUAUUGGUCAAUGGAGGCAACUCUGAACCAGCCAUGCCGCGUGCAGGAAGACUGCCCUAUGGGUUGUAAACUGCUUUUAUCCGGGAAUAAACCUACUUACGUGUAAGUAGCUGAAUGUACCGGAAGAAUAAGGAUCGGCUAACUCCGUGCCAGCAGCCGCGGUAAUACGGAGGAUCCAAGCGUUAUCCGGAUUUAUUGGGUUUAAAGGGUGCGUAGGCGGCCUGUUAAGUCAGGGGUGAAAGACGGUAGCUCAACUAUCGCAGUGCCCUUGAUACUGAUGGGCUUGAAUGGACUAGAGGUAGGCGGAAUGAGACAAGUAGCGGUGAAAUGCAUAGAUAUGUCUCAGAACACCGAUUGCGAAGGCAGCUUACUAUGGUCUUAUUGACGCUGAGGCACGAAAGCGUGGGGAUCAAACAGGAUUAGAUACCCUGGUAGUCCACGCCCUAAACGAUGAACACUCGCUGUUGGCGAUACACAGUCAGCGGCUAAGCGAAAGCGUUAAGUGUUCCACCUGGGGAGUACGCCCGCAAGGGUGAAACUCAAAGGAAUUGACGGGGGCCCGCACAAGCGGAGGAGCAUGUGGUUUAAUUCGAUGAUACGCGAGGAACCUUACCCGGGCUUGAAAGUUAGUGAAUGAUCUAGAGAUAGAUCAGUGAGCAAUCACACGAAACUAGGUGCUGCAUGGCUGUCGUCAGCUCGUG
rnacentral:rRNA from 1 species